GCCUGAAUAUUUUUUUUAAAAAUAAAAUUUUACGGGGAGCUUCAAUUCAUAGUUACGGAGUACUAACUUACUUGGGCCAAGCCCACAUUUCUUUUACCCUAAAUUUUGAGUCAAUAUAAAACUACCUAAACCCUAAAUUUCUACCCUCUCUCACACUCUCAUUCUUUCACUCUCUCUCUAAAAAAAUUGUGUCGCUCUUCACUCCUCUGAGGUCUGAUCCUCUCAUCCUCUGCUCAAUUUUCCGGUUCCUCUUCAUUCACUCGAGGCUUUAUGUGGAUCCGUCAUGAAUUUGAGAGUGAAUAUAGAAGGUGAUGAGGUUCCGUUUCCAAUGUCGUCACCGGUUGAGGCUCAUCGACUAUCCUCCCCCAAAAAUAUAUAAUUUUGUGUUCCUGUAUUAAAAAACUCAAGUUUGUGUAAUUUGUGCCUUUGAAGCAACUUUAUUUGGUCUGUAAAAGUGUAAAACUAUUAAAUACUUUGUGCGAACUUAUUAGGGUGUGCUACUGCCCUUACAGGCCAAAUUUUAAAUUAUUAUUGCCCUGUUUGUACAGGUUAGCAGCAA